ACCUCUUUUCUCCGUGUGGUUCAUCCAGCACAGACAUGCAGCUGAAUUUUCUGUUUUAUUAAACUAGAAAAAAAUAAGUAAAGUUACUAAAUUAAAUUAUAUUCGAGUGAUAAACUGCAUUUAAAGAGCCCUGGAACCUGGAACCUACACUUCAUGUGUUACUGAGCUUUGGUCGGGUUUUAUUGGAUCCCUUGGAGUCUUGAGACAGCUUUAGACAACGUCGGAGUGGGAAGUCUUCCCUUUUUCCCUUCAUGAACUCGGACGGUACUGAUUCCUCCCGUCAGGGUAUUGGAUGCCUGGAACCUUGUGUGAUCUAACAGCUCUGAUAACAGGACACCCUAUUCAUUAGUGUCCCGUUUGAACUCUUGAUUUCUCCGGUAAGGAGUGGCGAGCCAGAUUCUGAAACACAAAAAAGGAGCAAUUGCAUGCAGAAGAGAACACAGUGGAACUGAACUGAAUCACACACACACUUACGCACUUUUUAAUUUUUAUUUUAUCUGUUGAUUCCUUUAUUUCUGCUAAGAGUCUAUGUUGCUGUACUGAUAAUCUCCUGGUCAAUAUAACCAUAAGCUAUUGAAUUAAAUCCAGCCAUUUGUGUAACAUG